rnacentral:rRNA from 1 species
GAUGAACGCUGGCGGUCUGCUUAACACAUGCAAGUCGAACGAACUCUUCGGAGUGAGUGGCGGACGGGUGAGUAACGCGUGAGAAUCUGCCUGUGGGUCGGGGACAACCACUGGAAACGGUGGCUAAUACCGGAUGAGCCGAAAGGUAAAGAUUUAUUGCCCACAGAUGAGCUCGCGUCUGAUUAGCUAGUUGGUAAGGUAAAAGCGUACCAAGGCGACGAUCAGUAGCUGGUCUGAGAGGAUGAGCAGCCACACUGGGACUGAGACACGGCCCAGACUCCUACGGGAGGCAGCAGUGGGAAUUUUGCACAAUGGGCGAAAGCCUGAUGCAGCAACGCCGCGUGAGCGAUGAAGGCCUUCGGGUCGUAAAGCUCUGUCCUAAGGGAAG